GUAGAACAAAACCCAAUAAUGUUUUUCCUCAUCUCUAGGGUGUCCCAUACAUGAAAAUGAUUCUUGGCCAAAGUGAUUUUAAUGCUAAGCCUAAACAUUUUACACAUUUUCAUAUGCACCUCCAAACAAAAAAAGCACCCAAAAUGUGACUUCUCUUGGGUUUUGUUCUACCUCCGGUUGGGGUGUCUCCAAAUUUUGAGGCCAUUGUCACUGGCCUACUUCUGUAUCAUAACAAAGCCUGUCACUUCCACGUUUCGUUCUUUAUGUGACCGAAGUCACUGGCUACUGCACCAGAGAGGGUCUCUGCACUCAUUGCUGGUCCUAUAAUGCCAUCUAUUGGCGAAAACGUGCAACAGCAUAAUUAAACUAAAAGACAACUUCUGACAGGACAACAAAAAGACAGGGAGUGAGAAUAAGGGAAUAACAAAAAGCCGAAAAUGGGGGGUCCACUACACUUGCAUACCUGAUUGUGAUGCUGUCACUCAUUUUCUAGUCUAUAUCUUGGACUGAAAAAGGAUUACAUUAUUAUGUUUUCAGGUGUUUUGCCCCUGCGGUUGUGAAGAGGAUGCUGUGGAGGUGGCAGCAUGAACGUGUCACACAGACAUUGGCUAAACUACUCGGCUUCUACACUUGCCCUCAGAGUUCACAUAUGGUGAAGUGCACAGGUGUCCAGUCAGGUUCAGACUGAUGCUGGUAACAAGAGGAAAACAUGCUAAUUGAUGACCUUUCCAGCAUGUCCAACUCAUCAGCAUCAGGGGAGGAGAGUCGGUGAAGGUGGUGCACCAUCCAGGACCAGUCAUGGGCCACCAACACCUCUGCAAAAUCUGCACUUCUUGUGAACCCUCUAGAAGACACUACAACCACAAAACUGCUAAUAAACCAUCACAUACUACAUCA